GUUGGGUAGGGGAGCGUUCUGUAAGCCUGUGAAGGUGGCCUGUGAGGGUUGCUGGAGGUAUCAGAAGUGCGAAUGCUGACAUAAGUAACGAUAAAGCGGGUGAAAAGCCCGCUCGCCGGAAGACCAAGGGUUCCUGUCCAACGUUAAUCGGGGCAGGGUGAGUCGACCCCUAAGGCGAGGCCGAAAGGCGUAGUCGAUGGGAAACGGGUUAAUAUUCCCGUACUUGGUGUUACUGCGAAGGGGGGACGGAGAAGGCUAUGUUGGCCGGGCGACGGUUGUCCCGGUUUAAGCGUGUAGGUGUGUGUUCCAGGUAAAUCCGGUUCACUUUAACACUGAGGCGUGAUGACGAGGCACUACGGUGCUGAAGCAACAAAUGCCCUGCUUCCAGGAAAAGCCUCUAAGCAUCAGGUAACAUCAAAUCGUACCCCAAACCGACACAGGUGGUCAGGUANACGAGGCACUACGGUGCUGAAGCAACAAAUGCCCUGCUUCCAGGAAAAGCCUCUAAGCAUCAGGUAACAUCAAAUCGUACCCCAAACCGACACAGGUGGUCAGGUAGAGAAUACCAAGGCGCUUGAGAGAACUCGGGUGAAGGAACUAGGCAAAAUGGUGCCGUAACUUCGGGAGAAGGCACGCUGAUAUGUAGGUGAAGCGGUUUACCCGUGGAGCUGAAAUCAGUCGAAGAUACCAGCUGGCUGCAACUGUUUAUUAAAAACACAGCACUGUGCAAACACGAAAGUGGACGUAUACGGUGUGACGCCUGCCCGGUGCCGGAAG
rnacentral:rRNA from 1 species